rnacentral:lncRNA from 1 species
UUAUUUAUUUUCUCAUCUACCAUUUUUCUACUAUAUGCUAUUUCAAUUAUUUAGUUUACUUUUGUUUUAAAUUAAUGAUUAUGAGACAUAAAUAAUAUAUAUAGCAGUUACAAUUGAAGAAAGUUAUUAAGAAUUGAUGCUUCAAUAAAACUACAAACUAUAAAUUAAGAACCAAUGCAUAAUCAGAGAAAAAAAAUCAAAGUUGAGGCAAGAAAGAAUGA